GACGAACGCUGGCGGCGUGCUUAACACAUGCAAGUCGAACGGUGAAGCUCCAGCUUGCUGGAGUGGAUCAGUGGCGAACGGGUGAGUAACACGUGAGCAACCUGCCCCUGACUCUGGAAUAAGCGCUGGAAACGGCGUCUAAUACUGGAUACGAGAAGGGUCCGCAUGGGCACUUUCUGGAAAGUUUUUCGGUUGGGGAUGGGCUCGCGGCCUAUCAGCUUGCUGGUGAAGUAAUGGCUCACCAAGGCGACGACGGGUAGCCGGCCUGAGAGGGCGACCGGCCACACUGGGACUGAGACACGGCCCAGACUCCUACGGGAGGCAGCAGUGGGGAAUAUUGCACAAUGGGCGAAAGCCUGAUGAAGCGACGCCGCGUUAGGGAUGACGGCCUUCGGGUUGUGAACCUCUUUCAGCAGGGAAGAAGCGAAAGUGACGGUACCUGCAGAAGAAGCACCGGCUAACUACGUG
rnacentral:rRNA from 1 species